AGAGUUUGAUCAUAGCUCAGGAUGAACGCUAGCUACAGGCUUAACACAUGCAAGUCGAGGGGAAACGACAUCGAAAGCUUGCUUUUGAUGGGCGUCGACCGGCGCACGGGUGAGUAACGCGUAUCCAACCUGCCCACCACUUGGGGACAACCUUGCGAAAGUAAGACUAAUACCCAAUGACGUCUCUAGAAGACAUCUGAAAGAGAUUAAAGAUUUAUCGGUGAUGGAUGGGGAUGCGUCUGAUUAGCUUGUUGGCGGGGUAACGGCCACCAAGGCGACGAUCAGUAGGGGUUCUGGAGAGGAAGGUCCCCCACAUUGGAACUGAGACACGGUCCAAACUCCUACGGGAGGCA
rnacentral:rRNA from 1 species